UCAGCUUCGUGAUAGUUUUGACAGUGAGAAACAAGCUAAAUGACUCUAGAGUAUCGCGAGAUGCGUAGGUAAAGUCGUUUUGUAAUCGAAGUUGUCCGCAGCGUCGCCGUUGUCGUUACUCUGUGCCACUCUGGUAGUAUAAUUAUAUAGUGUUAUUCUUUUGUUUUAUAUUCAGGUCAAGCAGCAGUUUUAUAGCAAGUGGAAGUCAAGAUAACACAAUAAAGAUAUGGAACGUACCAACGGCAAUUGGCAACGAUUCCCCAGUCAAGUUGUCCGUUAGACUCACCGAGAAGGCCCAUGACAAGGAUAUCAAUUCCGUCACCAUUUCACCAAACGACAAGCUGUUGGCUUCUGGUUCACAAGAUAAAACUGCNAAUAU